GUUGAAAUAACUCUUCCUGGAGAAAGCUGCAACAUUUAUUAAUCUGACGGAGAAAAUCCACAGUGAUGAAGGGAAUCAUAAAACAAGGAGCCAUGUGAGAAGCUGAAGUAACAUGAACUAAUUUCACGAGCGUUAGUUUGAAGAUGUCUCAUGUAGAUUACGUGAUAAAAAAAAAAUGGUGUAUGGGAAUUGCUAAGUCAUGGCCUGAGCCAAUAAUUGAGCACCUGGUCAAGGGACACAGCCCGCCCUGGGAGCACAGGUGAAAGCAAUUCAUCUGCGUGACUAGAAGAGGUAGAACCAGGUUCCA
rnacentral:lncRNA from 1 species